UCCCGACCACUGCUGGGGCUGGACCCUGGCAAUUGGCGCCCAACGUGGGGUCCGAAGAGUGGAUGUUGGUUCUCCUUUGUGGAUUCCUGAUCGAUUAAUCCGACACCAUGAACCCUCCACCCAUGAAACCUCCACGCAAAAGGAAGCUUCCUCCCCAGCCGUAUCCACCACACUUCUGUGCCCAGGAUGAUCAGCAGGGUGAUCAGCUUGCUCAACAAAUUGCCACCAUCAAUGUUCGCUCUCGACAAGCUGCUUCUACUCGACAUGCUACACCUCCAACCUGGGGACAAGUAAAAUGUCUAACAGCCAGAGCAGAACAAAUGGUGUUAUCUCAAAGAAAACCUCUCACUCCGGAAACAUUGUUUGUGGCUAUGUUGGCUCUUCUCUCUUGCCAGUCAUUCUCCGUCUAAUUUGGAAGAGUGUUCUUAAUCUGCGUACUCAAAUUGAAACCAUCAAAUUAAAAAAUAAAAAAUAAAAUAAAAAAGGGGGAGCUACCACGUCUAUUUCCCACCACUCCGACACUUGACACGGUUCUGUUGGAAUUGAGGACUCAACAUUUGACACGGAUCUGUUGAACAACUAUCCUCCCUCUUGGAGGUCAUAGGCAUGGCAUAUACCCAUAUGCCAUAUAUAAGAAUCAAUAUAUCCUUAGAUUCAGAUUAUAGAGAAUACUGGGGAGAUUUCAUGGUCUUGGGACACCAAAUAACAUGCAAUAAAGUUUAAUAUUAAUACUUAGAUGAAAUCAUAAAUAAGCAAUUAUGAUUUGCUCAAACUUGUAAGGAGCCUGUGAUUUCUUUAGUAGACAAAUUCUCUAAAAGUUGUAUAAAGGUAUAUGAGAAUGUAUUCCUCUGGGUUUUGAUGUGGUGUUUGGACUUCAUUGCUUUCUUAGUGUUUAUGAUUAAGUUUAAGGAUAUUUUUCCCACUUAAUAAAAAAUAAAUAGGUUAAUCAUAAGUA